UACGUAGGGCGCAAGCGUUGUCCGGAAUUAUUGGGCGUAAAGAGCUCGUAGGCGGUUUGUCGCGUCUGCUGUGAAAUCUGGAGGCUCAACCUCCAGCCUGCAGUGGGUACGGGCAGACUAGAGUGCGGGUAGGGGAGAAUGGAAUUCCUGGUGUAGCGGUGAAAUGCGCAGAUAUCAGGAGGAACACCAAUGGCGAAGGCAGCUCACUGGGACGGUAUUGACGCUGAGACGCGAAAGCGUGGGGAGCAAACAGG
rnacentral:rRNA from 1 species